rnacentral:tRNA from 1 species
GGUGGCUCAGUGGUGGAGCACUUGCCUAGCAUGCAUGAAGCCCUGGGUUCAAGUCCUCAGUACCA